rnacentral:rRNA from 1 species
AUUGAACGCUGGCGGCAUGCCUUACACAUGCAAGUCGAACGGUAACAGGUCUUCGGAUGCUGACGAGUGGCGAAAGGGUGAGUAAUACAUCGGAACGUGCCCGAGAGUGGGGGAUAACGAGGCGAAAGCUUUGCUAAUACCGCAUACGAUCCCAGGAGGAAAGCAGGGGACCGCAAGGCCUUGCGCCCACGGAGCGGCCGAUGGCAGAUUAGGUAGUUGGUGGGAUAAAAGCUUACCAAGCCGACGAUCUGUAGCUGGUCUGAGAAGACGACCAGCCACACUGGGACUGAGACACGGCCCAGACUCCUACGGGAGGCAGCAGUGGGGAAUUUUGGACAAUGGGCGAAAGCCUGAUCCAGCAAUGCCGCGUGCAGGAUGAAGGCCCUCGGGUUGUAAACUGCUUUUGUACGGAACGAAAAGCUUCGGGUUAAUACCCUGGAGUCAUGACGGUACCGUAAGAAUAAGCACCGGCUAACUACGUGCCAGUCGCCGCAGUAACAC